rnacentral:rRNA from 1 species
AUUGAACGCUGGCGGCAGGCUUAACACAUGCAAGUCGAGGGGUAACAAGAGGAAAGCUUGCUUUUCUUGUUGACGACCGGCGCACGGGUGAGUAACGCGUAUCCAACCUGCCUAUAACUAGGGAAUAACCUUGCGAAAGUAAGACUAAUACCCUAUGAUUUCCUUUGAUGACAUCAGAUUAGGAAUAAAGAUUUAUCGGUUAUAGAUGGGGAUGCGUCUGAUUAGCUUGUUGGCGGAGUAACGGCCCACCAAGGCAACGAUCAGUAGGGGUUCUGGGAGGAAGGUCCCCCACAUUGGAACUGGGACACGGUCCAAACUCCUACGGGAGGUAGCAGUGAGGAAUAUUGGCCAAUGGGCGGAAGCCUGAACCAGCCAAGUAGCGUGCAGGAUGACGGCCCUAUGGGUUGUAAACUGCUUUUAUACAGGAAUAAAGUUAGCCACGUGUGGUUAUUUGUAGGUACUGUAUGAAUAAGGACCGGCUAAUUCCGUGCCAGCCGCCGCGGUAA